UACGUAGGGGGCUAGCGUUGUCCGGAAUCAUUGGGCGUAAAGAGCGCGUAGGCGGCCAGAUAAGUCCGGUGUGAAAGUCACAGGCUCAACCUGUGAAUGCCGCUGGAAACUGUAUGGCUAGAGUCCGGAAGGGGCGAGUGGAAUUCCUGGUGUAGCGGUGAAAUGCGCAGAUAUCAGGAAGAACACCAAUGGCGAAAGCAGCUCUCUGGGACGGUACUGACGCUGAGACGCGAAAGCGUGGGGAGCGAACAGG
rnacentral:rRNA from 1 species